rnacentral:rRNA from 1 species
UUCUUAUAUCUGGUUUGUGAGUAUUAAUUUUUUUAUGUUGUUAAUUUAAUAUUAAAACAUUUAGACAUUUAGUAAAGGCGAUUGAAAAUAUUUACAUAAAUAACCUUAAUAAGUACUGUAGAGGAAAUAUUGGAAUUAAGAAAAAGUAGAAAUUAUUAUUCGUACCUUUUGCAUCAUGGUUUAGCUAGAUUUAAGUUUGAUAUUAAGUUUCUCGAAAUCUGACGAGCUAUUUUUGUCCCUUAUAUAUAGUAAGUUUAGGAGUAGUUGUAGAAUAAAUUUUCUGAGAGAUAAAGAUAGAGAUGACAUUUCAUUCGCGUUAGAUGAUAGCUAGUUCUUCUAAAAGGUAUAUAAGUACUCUGAAUUGAGAAAUUUGAGUGUAAUAGACACAGAAAAUUAUCAAAUUUAGGUGAGUUAGUAAGGAUAAGCUUGUUAAUGUCAUUUAAUAAGAGCUUUCAAUUUUAUGUUAUCUAUAGGCUUAAAAAUAGUCAUUAUAAAUAAAGUAUGUUAUAAUAUUAUUUAAUUUAUAGAAAAUAUAAUUUAUUUGCUUUAAUUAAUAGAGAGGUUAAUUUAUAAACUAUGCAAUUAGAUUGAAUUAAUGCUAAGAUGAGUAUUAAAAAUCUUAUAAAUAUUUAAUUGUGAAGUAUUAUUGAAAUUUAAAAUAUUAUAUUCGAUUUAAAUUAUGGAAAGGAACUCGGCAAAAAUGUAUUCUGCCUGUUUAUCAAAAACAUCGCUCUUCGCUAAGUUAUAUAUGAAGAGUCGGACCUGCCCGGUGAUUUUUUUAACGGCCGCGGUACUCUGACCGUGCAAAGGUAGCAUAAUCACUUGCCUUAUAAUUGAAGGCUGGAAUGAAUGGUUUGACAAGAGUACGACUGUCUCUUCAUAAUUUUAUAGAAUUUAAUUUUUAGGUGAAGAAGCCUAAAUAUAAUUGAAAGACGAGAAGACCCUAUCGAGCUUUAAAGAAAUUAGUGACCUAGAAGAAAAUAUAAAAUAAAAGCAUAAGUUACUAAAAAUUUUGGUUGGGGCGACAAAGGAAUAAAGAAAGCUUCCUAUAUUCAGUUCUUUAUUUUUCAAAUAUUGAUCCAAUAGUAAUUGAUUAGAGAAAAUAGUUACCGUAGGGAUAACAGCAUAAUCUUUUUUGAGAGCUCAUAUUGAAAAAAAGGUUUGUGACCUCGAUGUUGGAUCAGAAUGUCCUAAAGAUGCAGAAGUCUUUAAGGGUUGGUCUGUUCGACCAUUAAAAUUCUACGUGAUCUGAGUUCAGACCGGCGUGAGCCAGGUCAGUUUCUAUCUUCAAUUUAAUGUAUAAACUUAGUACGAAAGGACCAGUAUAUAGUAAUUUUAAUAUAAUUGAUGAAUAAAUAUAAUUGUUAAUUGAGUUUUACAAAUACUUGAUUUGUUGA